AUUUUCAUGUAGCAAUUGUUGCGGAAUUCUCCGCAACUGGCCGACUUGUUAUUUUAAAAAAGAAAAGAAGAAAAAACGUAUACGCCCCUGUUUAUCAGGAGAUUCUGAAAACAUCAUCUUGGAGCCACUUCGAAGAGAGGAUGGUGACACAGCAGAAGCUUUAAAUAUUAUCGACUUCGAAGACAGUUCACAUUGUUAUGAUGUUAAAAAAAAGAAAAAAAAACAAGAUGCGCCGAUAGCAGAUUUACUAGCCAAACCGGAAAAGACUUCACUAGACAUCCCGGACAUCCGAAUUGAAAACCUGAUCAACGGCGUCAUCGGCGAUGAAUCUUCACUAGACAUCCGAAUUGAAAACCUGAUCAAUGGUGAUGAAUCCCGAAUUGACGUACCCGACUUUGCAGCAUCAGUGGAGGUACACUCUACUAAUGCAACCUUGCCGGCUUCGAAUAAAGUGAACAUUGCUAUGUAGAAAAAAAAAGUUUCAGAAAUAACAGCGAGAUGUAACGUUGGUAACCGAGAAAUAUAGUAAUGGAGCUAUAGUUCUUGUUUUCGUGGUUGAUGGGAACUGGGAAGUCCAAUUUCAAUGCUCGUUUUGAAUACUUGGAUGAUUUUUAAAAAAUAUGCACGUAUAAUAAGCAUAUUUAUUCGUAUCUGUUCUACAGUUCUGUUUUUUUAUUUUUUUAUAAUUCGAUUCGUAUUAUUAAAUUAGAUAAUAUGUUCAGAGUUCGCAAGU